UACAGAGGGGGCAAGCGUUAUUCGGAAUUAUUGGGCGUAAAGGGCGCGUAGGCGGCUUGGCAAGUGGAAGGUGAAAUCCCUCGGCUUAACCGAGGAACUGCCCUCCAAACUGCUUUGCUUGAGGCCGGGAGAGGCGAGUGGAAUUCCCAGUGUAGCGGUGAAAUGCGUAGAUAUUGGGAGGAACACCAGUGGCGAAGGCGGUUACCUGGAGCUUUGCUGACGCUGAUGCGCGAAAGCGUGGGGAGCGAUCCGG
rnacentral:rRNA from 1 species